GCUGUUGUUCAAGAAAAAAGUAUUUCUUCUCAACAGUGAUUUUCUACUUCCCUCAAAUAACCAACCCCACCGCUGGACUAAUUGCUGAAAUGUCCACACAAUAUCGCUACAAUUAAUCAAUUACUUGUAAUUUUACAUUUUAUUAUUUCCCCCUGACAUGUAGGCCUACACAGCAACAGAUCUGCAAUAUUUGCAGAAGCGAGACCACCCACCGACCUUCACCCCCCUCCACUUUACUCACCGCCCCUACUUUAAAGGGGAUGGAGGCAGAGAAGGUAGCGAGCAGAGAGUCGAAAGAGGAAGCAGCAUGUAAAGUAAUAUUGCUCAGACCUCAGCCUCAGCACUUCUGUUUUUUUUAAAAACCAAGUAAUGAUAUGCCUGGAGGAACCUUUGCCACUUGGAUUGGCUGUGACUGGAAGAUGACGGGAGGUUUCCCUACUGUUCCCAUUAUGAGGCCUAAACACUGCUGGACCGUCCUGCAUGUGUCCAUCUUGGCAGCGCUGCUUCUCACCUUAAACGCUGACAAUGAAGAUUCAAAUUGUGAAGUUCAAAUGAGAAUACGUCGCAACACAGUUUACAAAGCUUUCCUUGGAGACGUCUUCAGGAUGAACUGCACAGUUAGUUUCUGCAACAAUUCACCACCAACAGUCUUCUGGGUUAAACAUGAGAUAACUGCUGUCCCUGUCAAUGUCAGCAGUAGCAGUCACAUUAAAACAGGGUGGGAAAGUUUUAACCAUUUAGAAGGUGUAUCGUAUCUGGUCUUCCAAAACAUACUCACAAGCGACUCUGGUGUGUAUCGCUGUCGAAGUGAAGGCAGUGAGAGUCAUUACAUCAACCUCUCUGUUUAUGUACGUGAUGAUGAGCAUACCAAUGUUACAAAGAAGAAUGACACAAGUGGCACACAUGUGGAUCCAGAAAAUCUCUGGAUGUACUUGUACACUGUUGCUGGGAUUGUGGCAUUCGUCAUCAUAGUGAUAAUUUUAUCUGUCGCAUCAAUGCGAGGGUGUAAAGGGAAAUCAAAGAAAGAGAUGCCAACUGAAAAUCAGUAUAUGGCAAUCCCCAUGGUAGAGCAACCAUACCCCCAUGCCAGCCUCCAGCGCUCACCAAGAGGAAGUCCCUCUGCCCCGCCAUCUCGGAGAUCUACCCGGAGAGAACAGCCCUUGCAACCAAAUGAGUUGCCAUUAGCAAGAGACAAUGAGCGCCUUUACGGCAAGAUAAAAGGGGACAGAGACAGAAAGAGGAAUACAGUGGAGGAAGAGGAGGGUUCUGUUGUGUAUGCGGCUCUCAACCAUCAGCUCCCAGUUGGGGCUGCUGCUCGGCCGCGGAGGCCCCAGGAGGAGUUUUCGGAGUACGCAGCGAUCCGUGUUCAAGACCCCAAACCCACCAGACACUAGAAGAGCACUGACGAACAUUUCAAACUGGUACAUCUCAGAGGAGCUAUGGAGGACAAGGGGUGCAGAUACAUAAAACUCUGAUUUAGACAGCAAAAGUGUUUUCAUUUACAUUUUUGAGAAAUCUGCUCUCAUCACAACAUGAGGAUGCUACAACACAUACUUCCUACCCGUCCUACCUUUGACUCCAAAGACUUGUCCUAUAAUGUAAGCACUAAAAUUGGCAUCUUCACCAUUUGGUCAGUACAUUAAAGGCUUGCACACCUGCACAGUUGUUUUCACUGAUUCGCUGAUUAGACCUGUGUUCUAGUCUAAGUUUGACAAAGCUGUGCUGGGAAUUUGUGAGGUCAUCAUGUACCAACAAUAAUAGGUACCAGUUGGUAUGUCCUGACUUGAACUGGACUAAAUCAAGCCCGGACCAGACAGUGCUGGUUUGUGCUGCUUAUGGUUUCCAUUCCAUUUCAAUUUGGCACCCCAAAUGACACAAGCCAACUUGAAUCAACAGCUCUGUCUGGCAAGUAAGCAAAAUACAACCAAUAUCAACAACAAACUGGACAAAUAAACACAUAUUUCACAUGGCUUGUCAAUACUGAAUCGAAAUACAAAAGGUGCAGAAGUCUUUGCUAACACUUAAAAGCUCUAAAAAGAUGAAAUUUAAGUUUGCCACAGCAUCAAUACCACCUGCUGCUGUAUGAUUAUUAGCUUAUUGAUAUUAAAUGUCAGAGCUUUAGCCUCCCUCCCUGUAUGUUACUAGUGUAAAACAGAAUGGCCAGAUGAAGCACAGCCUGUGAGAGAGGUGCAAGUUGUCCCGCACUAACAACGUGCAACAUAAGAAUUAAGGGAAAUCAUGCACAGUCUCUACGUAUUUGCACAGUCUAGGGAAGAUGUCUAAUCAGACACGAUAACUGAAAACAUAUGCUAGGUGCACCACAGGUGUGUAGGGCUUUUAACAUUCGGAAAUAUGAGAAAUAAUACACAGAAGCUGAUGAGCUUUAAUGUUUUCUUAAAUUGCUAACAUUGCUAUUGUGAUUUUUUUUAUAUUAACAAUUUUAGAAGAUAAGAAGAUAAAGGUACUUAUCCUGUUUUGCUGUAAGGUUGCCUUGUUUACAUUACAGAAGACCUGGAAAAAAUACUGACAUAAUCCCUCCAUGGUGCAUUCCCUCAGAUCAUUGUGAUCUACUAAAUUGUAGGUGCAUUAUUCAACCCUCGUUUUAAAAUGGAAAUAGCCAGAGAGCAAACUAUUUCAAGGAUAAGACAGGUGAUAUCCCAAAUUAUUCUUAUCGUCAACAAAUCCAAUUAAAAAAACAAAUCUACAUCGAAUUGAUCAACUAACAUGUAUUGUCUAUGUAUCCAAAGCCAUCCUAUUACUCUGUGCCAUGGAGCUCCAGUUUCAUCCAAAAACUUUUCAGAACACCUCAAUAAGCCACCUUGUUGCACUGGCUGACAUGUUCUUUCACUAAAGUUUAUUUAGAGUCAGUGCCACAUACACAGUCCUGCAACUAUUAUACUCAAUAGAGCACCAAAUGUGUAUUAAUACGCGGAGGAAAAUAGUCUCCAAAAAUUAACUGUUAAGUCUUGUUUGAGUAACUUCCGCUAAAACUUACAGAGCACAGCUGUUUUAGGAAAUUACUUUGAAACUAUAAAAUCAAUGAAUAAAGUGAAAAUAUGUGCCCCUUUUUUAAAGUUUUACGUCUUCAGUAAGAACCAAUGUGCUAGCAGCUGAGUGCCACAUACAGGAUGAGAAGUCAGAAGUGCAGCACUGCAGCACCAUCUCUUACCAAACUAAAUACAAUUUUACAAAACUUUUGCAAACUGUCUAAAACUAAUAUGGAUUUGUUUGUGAUCUUGGUUGAAAUGUUUUGUGUCAUGCUUUCACAGUAGGUUAAAAAUGUGCUUUGUGCUGUUGCACUUCCAUGACUUGAAUUUACUCUAUUGGGUAACAUCUGAUAACUAAUAGUUUUAUGAACUUAAACCUGAUGUACAAUAUCAACUACUGACUCAUUUUCUGACUAUAUGAAUGACUAAUGAACUCUUGUAAUUUAGUGUUUCACAACCUUUUAGAAUAAUUGAUUGUGUUUCUUUAACUGGGAAAUAGAGAAUGUAAUUAUCUCAUUUUGUGCAAUCAGAUAAUAUAAUGUAUAUCUAUAACUGAUGAUUUGAAUUAUGAUUAUAUGAUGCUAUCACCGCUGACACGCCUUGUGCUGUUUUUCCUUCAAAACUAUCUAAUAGCAUCGAAGCAAGAAUGGUUAUUCGAAAAACCCCGAAGCUUCAGAUGUACAGAAAUUGAAAAAACUAUUGUGUGUGUGUGUUUGUGUGUGCUUCUUCAGUGCUUUGAUAAGUUUGUUGAGUGUAUUUGCUGUCACAGCCCACUCUAAUGGGGGUACGCACAUACACUAAUCAAAAACAGGAAGGAAAGUCAACCACAUGUCAUUUACUGUUAUACCUAGAGCAGACCAACAGUAAUAGUUCCUUUACAGAGCAGGAUAGCUGGUUCUUGAAGUGUUUCCACCAUGAGACCUAACUACUGCCUGACCAUGCUUCAUGUGUCCAUCUUAGCGACCCUCGUCCUCAUUUUGGAAGCUGAUAACUCAAAUUGUGAAGUUCAAAUCAGAGGACGUCGCAACACAGUUUACAAAGCUUUCCUUGGAGACGUCUUCAGGAUGAACUGCACAGUUAUAUAAAGCUCAACAACUCAGGACACUGUCUGGCCAUACCGUCUUGUUGGAAUUAUGUUGUUUGUCAUAAUAGUGACAAUUAUAUAUAUUACUUCAAAAUCUGGACGUAAAGGUGAGACUUUGUACAUACUGUAAUUGUUCAGCAGCACAACCGCUCUGCAGAGCUCCGGCUUAAGGUCUCAUCUGACAAACAAAUCAGUAAAAAAUAAAUAAAAAUGCCACAAACAAUAAGAAUAAAUGUGUAAUACAGUACAUAUUCACUAUAAGGAUUUUGAGAACAGUAACUGAUCUCUCCUGAUGUCAAUUUAAGGCGUCCGUUGUGCAGGUGAAUCCAGGGACACACCAGAUCCAAGCUGCCAGCCCUCGACUCAGGCCUUGUCUACCAUUCAUAUCUAUGAAAACGAAUAAUAAUCCCCAUGGUUGUGCCAUGAAAUCAAUCUGUUACGAGUUAAAUCUAAGGAUAUUUGGGCUAUGAUUAAAAUUCAAACAGUUCCUAGAAUUCAUUUCAAGAUUUCGCAACCUGUAAAUUGUAUGUGAUUUAUUCAAAUUUUUACUGAUCAGUGCUUUGUUAUAAUGUUUUGUAUUUUUAUGUAAUGUGCUUUAGGAACUACUGGGUUGGGUUUAAAUGGCUUUAAAAUAAAAAAUGACAUUGACAAAAUAUGAUCAAUUUCUUCAUAAUGGUGUGUUUACUGUUGUAAAUAACAAUGGAUCUCACUGUCCAUUUUGCCUUUUUGAAUUCCUGUAAAUUGAGCUGUAACAAUACAGAAGUGAAAUCUUGUAUGUGAGAAACCGCUAUGAUGAGUGUGCGAGUGCAGAAUGUAACACAUAUACAGGUUAAUAGUUUUAUUUCCUGUACAGGUAACAAUCUUGGUGCACAUAUCCGGUGCAGAUACCUUAUUUUUAUGUGAUUGUCUGUUCAUCUAUAUUAGUGUGUGUCUGUGUGUGUUUGUGCACCUUUGUUCUUUAUGCUCUUUUGAUGUUGACUGAAGGCAGCCUUUCUUCUUGGGUACAGUAUCUGUUGUGCAUUUGGGAGCAGACAGACUGUCGACUGAAGAACAGGAAGCAGAAUUAAACCACAUGUCACAUAAACAUAAGACAAAGGCUGGAUG